GCCACCGUAGCUCAGUUGGUAGAGCAACGGUUUCGUAAACCGUAGGUCGUUGGUUCGAAUCCAAUCGGUGGCU
rnacentral:tRNA from 1 species